UACGUAGGGUGCAAGCGUUGUCCGGAAUUAUUGGGCGUAAAGAGCUCGUAGGCGGUCUGUCGCGUCUGCCGUGAAAACCCGAGGCUUAACCUCGUGGCUUGCGGUGGAUACGGGCAGACUAGAGGUAGGUAGGGGAGAAUGGAAUUCCCGGUGUAGCGGUGAAAUGCGCAGAUAUCUGGAGGAACACCGGUGGCGAAGGCGGCAUCCUGGACCAUGACUGACACUGAAAAGCGAAAGCCAGGGGAGCAAACGGG
rnacentral:rRNA from 1 species